rnacentral:rRNA from 1 species
AGCAGUAGCCGCGGUAAUACGUAGGGUGCGAGCGUUAAUCGGAAUUACUGGGCGUAAAGCGUGCGCAGGCGGUUAUAUAAGACAGAUGUGAAAUCCCCGGGCUCAACCUGGGACCUGCAUUUGUUACUGUAUAGCUAGAGUACGGUAGAGGGGGAUGGAAUUCCGCGUGUAGCAGUGAAAUGCGUAGAUAUGCGGAGGAACACCGAUGGCGAAGGCAAUCCCCUGGACCUGUACCGACGCUCAUGCACGAAAGCGUGGGGAGCAAACAGGAUUAGAUACCCGAGUAGUCCCUGUCUCUUAUAC